ensembl:lncRNA
UGGAAGGGGAGUUCUUGCAGGACAGACUUUUUGUGAUAUAUGUGAAAUAGGCCGUAACCCUCACACACAUACACACACACAGAUAGAUUUGUUUGGUUCUUUGUGGAUCUGUAUCACAAAGAAUUUGCAUAUAAACAUCCUAGAUGAGACUGUUAAAUCAGAGGGAAGCAUAUGACUCUGGAUAGCAAAUGAAGGGCCAAGUAUAAACCCAAACAUAAGGAAAUAGUAAUAUAACUUUAAACCCAGUUGCACACGGAUGAUGCCAGGUACUAUAGAAGGCAAAAUUUAUUUUUAAACCACUCUAGAUAGUCUCAUAAGAUAAUUAGAGACCACCCUUUGGAGAUUAAAAUGCAGAGGAUGUGGUAUUUUUAAAAAUUUGACACAAAAGUUAUGUUAACUUUCAAAGCCUAUGUCAAAUGUUAAUGUUUCUUGAAGUAGUUUUAAUUCUUUCUAGCCAGGAAUAUUUUGGUAUUUUUUAAUGCUGUUAUUAUUUGCAUGUAAUUCAUUGAAGAUGGACUUUGAGAUCAGACAUGUGUGAGGCUUUAAAUAUGCUGAAAUGUGCAGGCAGCUAUGAGUAUGUGCAUCAGUUCAGUUCAGUUCAGUCACUCAGUUUCUGACACGACUGAAUCACUGAACUGAACUGAACUGAACUUGAGUACUCCAGGCUAUACUUUUCUAUGUUGAUAUUAGAUAUUUGUUUAUUUAUUGCCAGUCACUAUAGAAGAUAAUUUAAACAUUUUUUAAAAAGAUACAUUUUUAAUUUGUAGUCAGCAAAAAAUGGACUUUCCCAUGAGUUAACACCAUGACACCAACUAUGCAAUAGAUUUAAUAAUGCUAUGUUUUAUAUAUGAUAGUUUGUAUAGGUCAGUCUCAACCUCCCAAUUUAUCCCUCCCCGCUUUCACCCCUGGUAACCAUAAGACUGUUAGUAUGGUGUACUAGCUGAGGUCCUAUAUGAUCUAUACUCUAGCUAACUCUCUAGUAUUGUUCUCUAUUAUUCGCUCUCUCUGCUCUAGGCACAUUGCCUCCUUUCUAUUUCUUAGUUACUUUCAGCCUUUGGACCUUUGCAUUUGCUUAAACUGGCUUUCUCCCAAGACAUCCACAUAAUUAAUAUUUUAACUUCCUUAAAGUCUCUGCUCAGGUUUUAUCUCCUUAAUGUAUCUCCUUAAUUUUAUCUCUGACCAUCCCAUUGAAUUAUGUAAAGUGAGCCUGACAGUUCUCAUCUCCUGCAAAUUGACUUGUUUUUAAUAUAGCAUUUAUUACCUUCUUUCUAAGGUAUUAUAUAACAUUUUUCAUUGCAUUUAUUGAAUACUCUUUUAUACCUCCAUCCCAACUCUCCCUCUCUUCCUCUAGGUCUCUCAUCUACAAAAAUGUAAACUCCGUAAAGGCAAGGAUUUUUAUUUCUUUUGUUUU